rnacentral:lncRNA from 1 species
UCCAUUUACUUACAUAGUAUGAACACGAUGCACGCCCAACUUACUUAGGUGGUUCUUGUCCAAUAAUAUCCUCAAAAUUCUGCAAAAGAUAAGAUCCAAUUCAAUACUUAUCUGUUACCAUUCCAUUUCAUCCAAUACUAUGUGUGCUAAUUAGCAUUUUUUUUUCUUCUUAUUUGAUCGUAAAUUUUUUUAUAUUUCUCUGCAUUUAUCGGUUGAACUAAAUUGAAAGACUACUCAUUAACACACUUAUAUCUCCAACAACACUAUAUAAUUAAUAUUGAAAUUAAUCCUUUAGAACAACUGAAACACAGUAACAAUUAUUCAAAAACUCACUUCAUUUCCAUCCCCCAAAUUUCGUGUAACUGCUUCUAGUAUUUCCUAAUUAAUUUGCCACCUACUUCUAAUCUCUAAUUUAUCUUAUGUCGGUACCAUUGGUUCUUGGGGUUAAUAGCUUCAAUUUUUACGAUGAAUGAAUAUUAUUUGGCCAAAUCACAUUUUGUUAUGGCUAGUAAAUAUUCUGAAGCAGACAAUGUUGGGGUCAUUGAGUGUAUGAACUAGAUAACUUCGAAUUUUGGAACCCAAUUGUUCUUGCUGUUAGAAUUUUAGAACUAUUUCUUUUAAGGGAGGGUUUAUCUCACUCCUAACAUUUUAUAAGUUUCUAAAUUUUUAUUUUUAUUUUAUUUUAAUUAUCUACAAAUUAAUCAAUUCAAGUUUAUUUGAAUUGAAUUAAGAUAUGUCAAUAUUAAUUUAUAAUUUUUCUAAUUUUUUUUAUAUAUUUAGAUCAAAAAUAUUAAUUUAUAAAUUUAUUUUCACUUUUAAACCAAUUUAAAGGUUUAAAAAAUCUUACAAAUUUUCAAAUUAGUAUAUAUAUUUGAAUUGAUGAAUAUGAACAAAUGUCAUGAUUGGUUAAUCAGAAUAAAUUGAAAAUUGACAAAAACAAAUAGAUUUUAAAAGAUUUUUGAGAAUGUGAGGUGAAAAUUUUCUUUUAAUCUAUAUUAGUAAGAAUAGUAAUAGAGUGGCCCAUUUCUUAGCAAAUGAGGCCCAAUAUACUCACAACCAGUUUGGAUUGCCGUUUUAUCCUUCCAAUUUGACUUCUUGAGGAUUUUCCUUCCUCUCUUUGUUGUGUUCUUUAAUUGAAUUUAUUUUCAUUUUAAAAAGAAUACAUGAGCUCCUUAAUUCAUCAAGUUCAGCCAUCAAAUUGACUUUAUAUCCAACAAAUUGAUUUGAUGUAUUGUUCAUCAAAUCUCCCUAUUACUAAAGACUUUCCAAUCAUGAAAUGAAUGUUUGGUUUUAUGGUUUUAUCAAUUGGCAAAAUCAGAGAUUUUGUCAAUCUCAUCGUGAAAUAAUUCCUAUAAGAGGAGUAAAAUUUGACAGAAACCUG